UGGGCUGUCUAACUCAUUUCCUUUCUUUCUAUUUUUCAGAUUCAGAUAAUUAAUUUCGAGCGUGGGAAGAAAUAUUGGGACAAAGCUUUUAGAGGCGAGAUUUAGCGUUGUCAACUUCAUUGAACUUAGAUCUAUUGUUUUAUUUUUAGUAAAAUUUUAUUGGAUGUAAGAUAUUUGAUUUAAUUACUUGAAUUAAAGUUGAAGAAAAAUUAUUUGAAUUUAUUCCGCUGUGAUGCAUUGAUAUCGUGAUGAGAUGCCUUGCAUGCUUAUGGAGAG
rnacentral:lncRNA from 1 species